UGGUCAAAUAUAUUUCCAUCAACUGGUAUUUCUAUCAAUGAAUAGGCUAAAAAGCAUUAUUUUGCUAUGUGAUUUUAUUUAUUCUCCUGGACAAUUGGCCGGUGCCAAUUGAAUUUUUGGGCUUUUCAACAAAAGAAAAUGGCCAAAAGCCGGCUAUUAGCGGCUAAAGGACGACCCUGGUGCCAGCCCUAGUUGGGGGUCCCCGAGCACCGGAGUUGGGAAACACUGCUCUACAGUGCAUGUUUGCAGGAAUAGUUCAGAUUAAUAUCCAUACAUUACAACAUAAUAAGACCACCACCCAAGCCAUCUGUGUAUUGAGCUUGAUGCAUCAGGACAAUAGUUGGGUGUGCAUUGGGUUUGAUGCAUCAUUACAAUAGUUUGAUGUAUUAUGAGGACAGUAGUCAUCAGAUAAAUGAACACAGUCACAAAGUACAACAUAAUCAGGUUAGAAAACAGACCACCACAGUAGGGCUGGGAAUUGCCAGGGACCUCACGAUACAAUAUUAUCACGAUACUUAGGUGCAGAUACAAUAUGUAUUGCAAUUCGAAACUGAUUUUAUUGCUAUUUGAUGUUCAAAACAUAUUGCUCACUAUGUCGUCUGUAGAGAGAUGAGAGAGUGCAAGGGAGCAUGAAUUUAGAUCAGACAUGGAAAUAAAAGUUCUGAAAACACGUUGGCUCACUAAUUAAAAAGAAGACGGGGAACAAGCUAUAGGAUGAAUAAUACAUGAGUUAUUUUUAAAUCUAAAAAUCGAUACUUGGAGUCAAAGUAUCGAUAUGAUAUUGGCCAAAAUAAUAUUGUGAUUAGUAACUAUUGAUUCCCACCCAUCAUUAGUAACCUUUCUGUGCAUUGAGCUUGAUACAUCAGGACAGUAAGCGUCACGACAGUUAGGCCUAACAUGACACAUUCAUCCGGACAAGCUUUAAGGUCUCUGUGUGCUGGAGCUCUGUGUGAAGUGGAUUGUGUGCCGUGCAGCUGAAAAUGAGAGGAGCAUAAAUCCAGGCUUGUCUUCUUUCACCCUCCGAGGAGUAACCGCCCCGCGAUGCAUGCCAUCACAGCAGGUCUCAAACACCGUUUUCUCCUUCCCUGCUCUCAAAGGGCAAGGGAAGGAGGGCAUCUUAAAUGCCAACCUAUUCCCUAUAAUAGUGCACAACUUUUGACCAGGGCCCAUAGAGAAUGGGCUGCCAUUUGGGAUGCAACGGGCCUCUGCUCAGUAGCUCAGUCCUCCUAGUGCAUGUAAAGCACGCCAAAAUAAUAAAAUCAAUGGAUCACAGCUGACUCUUUACGAUGAUCUUGAAGUUUCCUGAGUAAGCAAUCAAUGUUUUCAAUACACAUCAUUGGCGGGGCUGACGCCUUUUGCAAUGAUUUUCUCUUUGUAUAAACUCCCUCCCUGCAACCAUACUAUUUUUGUAUAUUAUUUUUUAUUAUUUUUUAUUCAGUGUUUAUUUGACAGGAGGACCGUUUUUAGUAAAUCCAUGUCAUGUAUCUAAUGAAAUUACAGGCUGACCAAUUCUAGUCUUUUGCCCAAUUAUUGGAAAAAGAUCUGAUCGAACAAAAUAACAUUUAGUGGAAAAAGAUUGGCCUGCCUGUGUAAACGCAGCCUGUCAGGAUAGAGGGUGAACUUUGGCUGCCCGGCUCAGCUGGAGGCAAAACAGCACUUGUCAUCAUGGCUGGAUUAAAUGUGCACUUAGCUGUCCCCUGUCUGAUUACCAGUUACAUAAAACCUCCAGCUAGCACACGGGGGAAAGGAAAACAUGUCAUGCCGCUCCUCUUGCAAAUUACUGCACUCUGGUUCCCACCGAGAGAGUGCAUCGCAUUGCAUGGCAUGCUAUUCGACCGUGGUUACACGCUAUUUCCUACAUAGUGCAUUACUUUUGAUUAGAAUCCUAUAGGCCCUUUUCAAAAGUAGUGCACUAUAUAGGGAAUAUGGUGCCAUUUGGGACACACAGUGACAGUCCUCUGGAUGUGCGACAGACAGACUGUCUGGAGCCUCUCACCUCCAGCCAAAUCUCCAGGCUGAAGCCUGGCCAAAUUAAACAGCCCGGUGACAAUCAUCAUUCCCCAAUCAGUCGCUAAUCAGAAGACACCUGCUCCUUUUCUCUUACCCUAUCACAUUCCCUUUCCCUUGGUUUAAAAACCCAGUCAGUUGUAUUCUCUGGAGAUUGAUCUCUUUGUGUUUUAAUCUCUCUGUGUCUCAAUCUCUUGCAAUAUUGCUCUCACUCGUUGUUUUUUGUUUUUUGUUCCUACAUGUCACAUUUGCCCGGAAUUAUGUGAAUAUGUAUUGUUGUGCUUCAUGGCUAUUUGUUUGUUGGUGGGGAAAGGGGGUAUCAAGACAAGUCGCCCAUGGGCAUACACUACCCGUAGGUAAACUUUGUCUAAAUACCAUAGUUAGAACUGGGUGGACCACCCACUGUAUUUUUGAUUAGUUAGUUCGCUGUAUUGAAGUAAGCUUGUCUAGUUUAUGGGGUGUUUUUGGAUAUUUGUUUAUUUCCUUGGGUCCAGCUCAGCCCCUUUUCCCGCCCCCUUUACCGUGUGUUUAGAAAUAAACCAUGAGUGUUUGACGGUAAUUUAGUUGUCUGUGGUUUUUCGUUCUCACAGUUUUUCGCUAUUAUACUUGGCAUGAGUUAUGUUACGGGUCUCGUUACCAUCCCCCCCUAGAUUGCUGGGCCAAAGGGAUUCGUAACG